AUGUUGUCGCCGAGUUCUGAUCCUCCCAUGGAUGUCCAAAAAGACGCUGCCUUGCCGGCGGCGACAAAGGAGGAGGACCUUUCCUGCUGUACCGCGGCGUCGCUGAAAGUGUUCAUGGUGCUGUAUUCGCUGUAUAUGGUUGGCCUGAUCAUAUGGAUGUUCAAGGUUUGCGAAAACUGGUGGCAGGCAUGGCCGGCCGUUUUUCUCGUGUUAGUCUGGGUAUUGGUACUCCUGGUGCUUGCCGAGCAACAUGCCAAAGUAACAUUGUCCGAGAGUUCUGAUCAUUGCCUGGACCUCGAGAAAGGCGCUGGGCCAGCGCUGACCAAGGAGGAGGAGCUGGCCAAGGUGAACUCUGGCAUUGCCAAGGGUAUCAUGGUGGUUCUGGAUGUGAUGAUGGUGUUUUAUUCGCUGUUUAUGAUUGGCCUGAUGAUCUAUAUGGUCAAGGUUUCCACCAACAACUUGUGGGACGCAUGGUCAGGUGUUGUUAUCGUGUUGCCAAUCUGGGUAUUGUCACUCUAUAUGCAUUUCCAACAACGUGCCAAGAAGCGUGCGCUGCUAAGCAAUGGCAGUAAUCUUAGUACCAAACUGCUGGAGUCUACGAAAUAA
rnacentral:rRNA from 1 species